CCUACGGGUGGCUGCAGUGGGGAAUAUUGCACAAUGGGGGAAACCCUGAUGCAGCGACGCCGCGUGAGUGAAGAAGUAAUUCGUUAUGUAAAGCUCUAUCAGCAGGGAAGAAAAUGACGGUACCUGAGUAAGAAGCCCCGGCUAACUACGUGCCAGCAGCCGCGGUAAUACGUAGGGGGCAAGCGUUAUCCGGAUUUACUGGGUGUAAAGGGAGCGUAGCCGGGCUGACAAGUCAGAAGUGAAAUUCCGGGGCUCAACCCCGGACCUGCAUUUGAAACUGUUGGUCUUGAGUAUCGGAGAGGCAGGCGGAAUGCCUAGUGUAGCGGUGAAAUGCGUAGAUAUUAGGAGGAACACCAGUGGCGAAGGCGGCCUGCUGGACGACAACUGACGGUGAGGCGCGAAAGCGUGGGGAGCAAACAGGAUUAGAUACCCCGGUAGUC
rnacentral:rRNA from 1 species